rnacentral:rRNA from 1 species
UACGGGGGGGGCAAGCGUUGUUCGGAAUUACUGGGCGUAAAGGGCUCGUAGGCGGCCAACUAAGUCAGACGUGAAAUCCCCAGGCUUAACCUGGGAACUGCGUCUGAUACUGGAUGGCUUGAAUUCGGGAGAGGGAUGCAGAAUUCCAGGUGUAGCGGUGAAAUGCGUAGAUAUCUGGAGGAACACCGGUGGCGAAGGCGGCUUCCUGGACCGACACUGACGCUGAGGCGCGAAAGCUAGGGGAGCAAACGGG